CCCGGAGACGUUCACAAGCUGCUCCACGUAUGGGUCUCUGGUUCCAGACAAGCCUGCACUGGAGAGGCGGUCAUGGACCUCUAGAUGGUCAAGUUCUAUCUGCAAAAAUUGAGUUUGUGGUGCAAGUACAUGGUGUUUAAUACUAGAAUAGUUCAUGCAAACUGGACAAGAUCCACAUCGGCAUCUGACAGCCUCACAUCUCUGGCCUGGACUAGCAACAGCCUGCAACCAGCUUGCUGAUGUCUUAGUUGGCUCCAGCCAUGGCAGCGCCGUGCCAUGAGGACACUAAAGCAGUCCUGUGAAGAGGCCCACAUGGACACGAAUGAGCCCUCCCACCACCAGCCAGCACCAACUUGCCAGCCACCCGAGGGUAUCGUCUUAGAAGCAGAUCCUCAUUUUCCCAGGGAAGUCCUCAGAUAAAAUCCCAGCCCUGAGCCUUUGGGUUUCCCAGCUGUGGCCACAGUCUCCACGGAGUCCCUGACCCACUGAAAUUGUGAGAGAGAAUAAAAGAGAUUGCUGUGCCAAGUCACUAAGUUUUGAGAUCAUUUGUUAUGCAGCAAUAAACAACCAAUACAGUGCUAAAGCCCUGUGUCUGCUGAGAG